UGGUUAAAAAGCUCGUAGUUGGAUCUCAACAGCCUUGAAGCGGUUAACUUUGUAGUUUUACUGCUUUAUAGGCUGUGCUUUUGCUGGAGGUUUAGGGGUGCUCUUGAUCGAGUGUCUCUGGAUGCCAGCAGGUUUACUUUGAAAAAAUUAGAGUGCUCAAAGCAGGCUAAAAUGCCUGAAUAUUCGUGCAUGGAAUAAUAGAAUAGGAUGUCGAUCCUAUUUUGUUGGUUUUCGGGACUCGACAUAAUGAUAAAUAGGGACAGUCGGGGGCAUUUGUAUUCAAACGACAGAGGUGAAAUUCUUGGACCGUUUGAAGACAAACUACUGCGAAAGCAUUUGCCAAGAAUGUUUUCAUUAAUCAAGAACGAAAGUUAGAGGUUCGAAGGCGAUUAGAUACCGCCCUAGUUCUAACCAUAAACGAUGCCAGCUAGCGAUCUGCCUGCGUUUUUACUGUAGACUGGGCAGGAAGCUUCCGGGAAACCAAAGCAUUUGGGUUCCAGGGGAAGUAUGGUUGCAAAGCUGAAACUUAAAGGAAUUGACGGAAGGGCACCACCAGGAGUGGAGCCUGCGGCUUAAUUUGACUCAACACGGGAAAUCUCACCAGGCCCGGAAACUG
rnacentral:rRNA from 1 species